rnacentral:tRNA from 1 species
GGGGAUGUAGUUAACUAUAACAUUUGAUUUGCAUUCAAAAAGUACUUAUAUAUGAGUCUUCCUCA